rnacentral:lncRNA from 1 species
GUUUGAAAUAAAUGCAGGAUGGACUUGUAUAUAUGUCCUCUCGUUAAACAAAACUCGCACGUAUAAAAAAACUAUACAACAUAUACAUAUGCAUAUGUACAUACGCGCAUAUAUAUAUAUAUAUAUAUAUAUAUAUAUAUGUACGUGCUUAGCGCAAACAUAUUAUGGAAAACAUGAACGACCAAUUAAGUGAGAGUAUCGCAUCUUCAAACGAUAGUUUGUUGUUUAAUCUUUUAAGUGUAGGAAAAGAUAGAAGCCAACAAACGUUAAAAGAAAUAGAAGAAUUAAAGAAAAAAGGUAGAAGUUUUUUAAAAAAAGAGAUAAAAAAUUAUGACAUAGUUAAUAAUUUAGUUAAUGAAAAAAUAAAAAAUAGUAACAACGAUGAUGAUAAAAACAAGAAUAAACAUAACUUGUUAAAUUUUUUGAACUCAAUUAAUAAUGUACCAAAUAAUAGAGAUAGUAUGUCUUCUUUUUUUAACGGACUAGAUUAUAGUAAUAUUAGUAAUAACAAUUAUUUAAUUGUAGAUAGUAAUAAAAUUAUUGACUAUGAAUUUAAUAAUAAUAUUAUGGGAGUUAGUAAUAAUAUAGGUAGCUAUAAUGAUUUAUUUUAUCAUGCUGUGCAGGACCAAGAAACAAAAAAAAAAAAUAAAAGGAUUGAUUCGAAAGAUGUACCAUUUUUCGACAACAAUUUUAUCAUGGAUAUAAAUACGUGCGAUGUAGGUAGCGCAAGCAUAAGUAGCAUCUACGUAAGUAACAAAAGCGUAAGUAACAAAAGCGUAAGUAACAGAAGCGUAAGUAACAAAAGCGUAAGUAACAGAAGCGUAAGUAACAGAAGCGUAAGUAACAAAAGCGUAAGUGACAGAAGCCUAAGUAACAAAAGCGUAAGUAACAGAAGCCUAAGUAACAAAAGCGUAAGUAACAAAAGAAAUAACAAAAACCGGAAUGGAAAAAGUGAUAAAGCAUUAAGCGAUACAUCUAUUGCACAAAAUGAAAAAGAUAAUAUACCAAUAAAAGAGAAUUACAAACAAGAUAGUGCGGAAACAAAAACUAAUACAACUCAUUUAAAAUUUAAAAAUGAUAACAGGUCAAAUAUUUUUAAUUUAUUCAAAUUAAAAAGUAAAAUAAAAAAGCAGAGCGUAGAAUUAACUAGUAUAAGUCAGUACAAAGAGCUAGAUGAAUUAAUUGGUGAUAGUAAUAAUAGUAUUAAAAUUGGUGAUAACAAAAAUAGAUGUGACAAUAACAAUAGGAAUGUAAAAAAUGUAAACAUAAAUAAUGAUUAUGAAGAUGGAUUAUCAAAAAAUAAGGAUUAUAUUUUAAAUAAUGAAAAAACACAAUUAAAAAAUAAGCAUGUGGAUAAUACUAAUUUUUCUAGUAGAAAAGAAUUUUAUGUUUCUGAAAGUAUAGAGAAAGAAAGGAACGAAUUGGAUGAUAAUUUUGAGGAUAGCAGUCACGAGGGUAGGAGUGAAAGUAGCAGUGGUGUAGAUUACAAGAACGACGUAAUAUUAAACAUGGAUGGUGGUUCUAAAUCUGAUUUAGCAGAAAAACAAAUGAAUGUAUCUGUUCUAAAAGAAAAAACCAACAGUAGCAUUGGAGGUGCUGUUAAAAAUGAUGUUGAAUAUGGACAAGAAAGCACAUUUAUUGUUAAAACUGGUUUUGAAGAAGAAAAAGCAAAGGAAAAAAAAGAACCAAAACAAGAUGGUGUUUUAAAAAGUGAUACAUAUAUAGCAAUAGAUACAGAAAAUACAUUUAACCCAUGUAGUAAUCAUGAUAAUACAAAAGAUAAGACCAAAAUGGAUGAUAUUAAAAUGGAUGAUAUUAAAAUGGGUGAGACCAAAAUGGAUGAAACCAAAAUGGAUGAGACCAAAAUGGAUGAGACCAAAAUGGAUGAAACCAAAAUGGAUGAGACCAAAAUGGAUGAAACCAAAAUGGAUGAGACCAAAAUGGAUGAGACAAAAAUGGAUGAGACAAAAAUGGAUGAAACCAAAAUGGAUGAAACCAAAAUGGAUGAGACAAAAAUGGAUGAGUUUAAUAAUGUCAUAGACUUGAUUAGAGAAAUCGAAUUGAUUGAUACGUCUAUAAAGUUUAGUAAUGCAACAAGUAGUUAUUUGGGUGGUGUUAGUGGAAGUAAAAGUGGAGAGGAAAAUCUGAAUUAUGACUCAAAUUUUAAACAUACCAAUCGUAUUAAACGAAAUAAAAACGAGCACAUGUUGCAGUUUCAUUAUAUGACUGAUAUAAAUAAAGAAAAAAAAAAAAGCAAAAAAAAUAUAAUAAAAAAUACAAAAGAAAAGAUUAGAAGAAAAAGUAAAGAACAUAAUAAAAUAGUAUGUAAAGGUACGGAUAGUACAGAAAGUGUUAAUUACUAUCAUAGUUAUAUUUUUGAGGACACGUCAAUGCAAAGUGGUUAUAGCAGUGGUGAUAGAACCAGUAAAUAUAAAUUACAAACAGAUCUAAAUGGAGUAGCUUAUUCACAAUCAUAUAAAAUAAACGACAUAAAGGAUGCGAGCAAUACUAAAAAUGUAACACUAAAUAUCGAAAAAUUAAAAUUAAGUGGAAAUUUAAAAAACGAAUUAAAAGGCUAUGAAAAGUUUUAUUUAUGCAUCUGUGUGCCAAUCAGAUACCAAAAAAAAAAAAAAAAAAAAAAACUAAAUACGAUUGAUUGCAGAUUGAGAAGUAGAAGCUUAAAUGAAAAUUUGUUAAGAAAUAUUGUGGAGAUUCGUAAAAAUAUUAAUAUAGUUGAGCGUGGGAUAAAAAUUGGUACAACGAAUUUGAUAAAUGUGAGUCCCCUAGCAAAUGUAAACAUUUUAGCCAACACAAAUAAAAUGAUAAAAAGUAUGAACAAAUACAGGAGUUACACUACAAACACAAGACAAAAUCGAAUAUAUACACAUCAAUACAUAUCAGACGAUAUUAUCUAUGAUACAAUAUGUUUUAAAAAAAAAUGUAUAAAACAUGACUGUAUAAAUAUUUCAAAAACAAUAUGUUAUAAUGUUAAUAGCAAUGUUUUAAAUAAUAAUGAAAAAUUAGCUAUAUUAUUAUGUGGUUAUAUAAAUAAAAAAGAAAAAAAUAAAAAACGAAUUAAAGAAUUGAAUAAGGAAAUAAUACUUCAAAAAAAAAAUAAAAAUAUUAUUAAAAUAUUAAAAUAUCCAUUUUUUAUCCCUGAUAAUUGUGAAAUAAUAGGUUUAUCAGAAGUCCCAUUUGCAUGUACAGGUAAUAUCAAAAUUCCUAUAAACAAAUUUAGUAUAAUUGCUGAUUAUAGGACAAGCAUAUUUAAAAGCCAAACUCCCAUGUUCAUAUUGUUUAUGCGUGUACACAUGGGAGUAAAGGAUGUACAUAAUUUUUUUGGUGUAGAAGCUGUCACUGGUUAUAAUAGUAACUUUAUUGCCAGGGAUGUGUUGGCCAGGGAUGUGUUGGCCAGGGAUGUGUUGUCCAGGGAUGUGUUGGCCAGGGAUGUGUUACCUAGCGAUGUGUUACCUAGCGAUGUGUUACCUAGAGAUGUGUUACCUAACGAUGUGUUACCUAGUGGGGAUGAUAACAAAGUACUGUACGUAUUUAUUGACAAACUUUUGAAUCUGUCGAAAAAAGAGCUGAAAAAUAUAUACAUGUGGAUACGGUUCCACAAAAAUGAAAAGUAUAGCUAUAAUAUUUCGAAUAUAGAAACUGAAAAAGUUAUUAAUGUAUUAUUCUUUUCGAAAAAAAAAGUAACUGAUAUAAAUGAUGUCUUAUUGGAAGUGUGGAGUAAAGAUGUGAAUAAUAAAAAUAAAAAAGAAGAUUCUUGUUUAGGUAUAUUAAGAAUAAAUGUUCAAGAAGUGUAUAAUAAAAAGAACAUUCCAUAUGUUUAUAAUUCUUAUUAUUUAUCACAUAAAUUUAAUACAGAUAUAAAUAUAAUGUUUCGAGUAAUAUUAUUUAAGGGGGAGAUAGAUGCAUAUGACCGUGUUAUGCAUUUUUGUCAUAAUUUAGCAGCAAGUAGUAAUUUGCAAGUAAGUUACAGCAUGGAAUCAAUCAGUUCCAGUUUCAACGGCACUUGUGACUUAACUGUGGAAAAUGACAAUUUACUUAAAAGCGAAAAAGAUAAAUUAGGUAGUUCAAUUUCUUUUUUAUUAGAAGAUGGAAUAGAUUCUUAUAAAACAUAUAAGAAAGUUUUUACUAGCACUGCAACACAUAAUAUUUACCAUGAAAAUAAUACGAAUACGAAUACG